rnacentral:lncRNA from 1 species
UACUUUUAUUAUGUCUAUCUUAAUUUAUAUCUCAAUUGACAUUAUUUUUGCUUUGCUAUUUCUGUCAAAUUUCUAACCAGUAUAUUCAGGCUUUUUAAUUGUACUACUGUGAAUGUAUUCUGCUUACACCUUAAUCAUUCGAAUGAAAUAAAUAGCAUGAUGAUAGAGAUAGGAAAAACACUUGGGUUCAUAUUUGCCACCACCAAUUCAUAAUACUUUUGCAAGUGAUAUGCUGAUGAUAAAAUGAAUUCAUGAAGCUUUUGAAAAUCAAAUUUAAAUAAAUAAAUAAAUGUAACCACUUCACGAAGACCUAAGGUUUUGGAUCACAUGUUCACAUAAAUUUAUUCAUUUGUAUUUUUGUUGUAAUACAUAGAAUUUAUCAGUCCUUAUAGAUUUAUGAA